rnacentral:misc_RNA from 1 species
GAUGAAGAACGUAGCGAAAUGCGAUACUUGGUGUGAAUUGCAGAAUCCCGUGAACCAUCGAGUCUUUGAACGCAAGUUGCGCCCGAAGCCACUAGGCCGAGGGCACGCCUGCCUGGGCGUCACACGUCGUUGCCCCCCCCCCCAUCUACUCCUUCGGGAUUGCGGGGGGCGGAUGAUGGCCUCCCGUGCGCCUAGCCGCGCGGUUGGCAUAAAUGCCAAGUCCUCGGCGACGCACGCCACGACAAUCGGUGGUUGCGAAACCUCGGUUGCCCGUCGUGUGCGUUCGUCGCGCAUCGAGGGCUCGAAAAAAUGCUCGGCUCCGGCUCGGCUUUCAACGCGACCCCAGGUCAGGCGGGGUUACCCGCUGAAUUUAAGCAUAUCAAUAAGCGGAGGA